UACGGAGGGUGCAAGCGUUGCUCGGAAUUAUUGGGCGUAAAGGGUAGGUAGGUGGUCUCAUUUGUCUGGGGUGAAAGCCUUGAGCUUAACUCAAGAAGUGCCCUAGAAACGGUGAGACUGGAGUCCUGGAGAGGGUCGUGGAAUUCCCGGUGUAGCGGUGAAAUGCGUAGAUAUCAAGCGGAACACCAGUGGCGAAGGCGAGUCCCUGGACAACUCCUGACACUGAGGCACGAAAGCUAGGGGAGCAAACAGG
rnacentral:rRNA from 1 species